rnacentral:lncRNA from 1 species
UUUUUAUGCUGGGGUUUGAUGAAGAAUGGACAGCUGUGUAGGCCUGCAACUGGAUAAAAAGGACUGGAGUGUGUGCCAGAGGGCGUGCCAAGCUACAAGACAAUCACCUUCGAUUUCCCUGGAGAGUCAAUUUGACCAUAAGGAAUGACCGAAGGAUUGGGGAAGAAAAUACUCCCCCUGCUGAUGCUCCUUUGGUUCUACUUGGGAGUGAAGCUCACAAGAGGAGGGACUGCAAUAAACGUUCCCCAGAUGAUGCAGAGGUCUCUCUCUGCUGACAGUUAAUACCUUGCCUCCAAGCCUGAAUCGCCUUCCUGUCUGCGGGGUGUCUGAACGAACACAGCAAGAUGUGCAGGUCACUGAGUUAGAAGAAGUCGGCAGGGCCUAAGGCCUUCUGCAAGGUGUGACUCUCUCCCUCCAUACUGAGAACAUUUUGAAGUGACUUCAGAGGCUGCAGGGCUUGGGAAGUCCCAUGAGAACCGCUCCCCUUUCCCAAGGCACCGACAUGGCCUGUAGCCAGGCAUUGCUGUUUCUCAGCAGACUGAU